CUCUCCUCCCUCCCUUUUGCAAUCGACGGAACCCUUCCCCUCUUCCCUCUCUUCUCCUUCGGCCAUAGCCCAACAGCCGACCACCACUGCAACUCCGCGCCACCACCACCUCGCCAGCGACCACCCCUCGCCGAACCCAGCCUCCCCAUUAUGCCUAUCUCUCUCCCUCUCCUCCUCCCCCAAAACAAGCCUCCUUCCUUCUCGACUUUUCCACAUCGCCGUCGCAACCCGCACCAAAGCCACCGUCGUUCGUUGUCGACAGCACUGACAGCCCCUCACAGGCUCCCUCCGUUCAUCCCCUAGCUCCCCCACGAUCUCUCCCUUCCCCGUAACUCCCUCUUUCUCUCACGGGUCUCCACCACCCAAAUUCGCUGCCAAAAGCCCACCUCUCCGCUACUCCCUUUCUUCUAUGCUGAGCACUCGACACCCCCAACCCUAACGCCUCUCUCAGCCCUUCCAAACAGCCCUUGCUCAGCAUUUUUCCCACGUAUUUGGUCUUCGUGUUGGUGUCAAUUUGGCUUUGGCCAUUGCCCUGCACAACAUUCCAGAGGUUUCAGCUCAUAUUGGAAAGUUAAUUGCUGACAAGCAGUUUUAUGCUGCAAUUCCAUGUUUUGUACUUCAAAUUCUAUG